AUCGAACGCUAGCGGGCUGCCUUACACAUGCAAGUCGAACGAGUGGCGAACGGGUGAGUAAUGUAUCGGAACGUGCCCAGUAGCGGGGGAUCCCUAAGCGAAAAGUAGCUAAUAACGCAUACUAUUGGAGCGGCCGAUAUCGGAAUGGCUAGUUGGUGGGGUAACGGCUAACCAAGGCGACGAUGCGACGCUGGUUUGAGAGGACGACCCGCCCCAUCGGGACUGGGACACGGCCCAGACUCCUACGGGAGGCAGCAGUGGGGAAUUUUGGACAAUGGGGGAAACCCUGAGCCAGCCAUCCCGCGUGUGCGAUGAAGGCCUUCGGGUUGUAAAGCACUUUUGGCAGGAAAGCGGUACCUGCAGAGUAAGCGCCGGCUAACUACGUGCCAGCAGCCGCGGUAAUUC
rnacentral:rRNA from 1 species